AUUGAACGCUGGCGGCAUGCCUUACACAUGCAAGUCGAGCGCGAAAGGGGGCAACCCCGAGUAGAGCGGCGGACGGGUGAGUAACACAUCGGAACGUGCCCAGUAGUGGGGGACAACCUCGAGAAAUCGAGGCUAAUACCGCAUACGACCCACGGGUGAAAGCGGGGGACCCAAAGGAAACUGAGGGCCUCGCGCUAUUGGAGCGGCCGAUGUCCGAUUAGCUAGUUGGCGGGGUAAGAGCCCACCAAGGCGACGAUCGGUAGCUGGUCUGAGAGGACGACCAGCCACACUGGGACUGAGACACGGCCCAGACUCCUACGGGAGGCAGCAGUGGGGAAUUUUGGACAAUGGGGGCAACCCUGAUCCAGCCAUGCCGCGUGCGGGAAGAAGGCCUCGG
rnacentral:rRNA from 1 species